UGGGGAAUAUUGCACAAUGGGGGAAACCCUGAUGCACCGACGCCGCGUGAACGAAGAAGGUAUUCGUAUCGUAAAGUUCUGUCCUAUGGGAAGAUAAUGACAGUACCAUAGAAGAAAGCUCCGGCUAAAUACGUGCCAGCAGCCGCGGUAAUACGUAUGGAGCGAGCGUUGUCCGGAAUUAUUGGGCGUAAAGGGUACGCAGGCGGUUUAAUAAGUCGAAUGUUAAAGAUCGGGGCUCAACCCCGCAAAGCAUUGGAAACUGAUAAACUUGAGUAGUGGAGAGGAAAGUGGAAUUCCUAGUGUAGUGGUGAAAUACGUAGAUAUUAGGAGGAAUACCAGUAGCGAAGGCGACGUUCUGGACACAAACUGACGCUGAGGUACGAAAGCGUGGGGAGCAAACAGG
rnacentral:rRNA from 1 species